rnacentral:RNase_P_RNA from 1 species
GAAGCUGGCUAGGCAGUCGCCGCGUCCGUAAGCGUGUGGGUUGUGGUGUAGGUUGAUUGGCGUAAGCGAGUCAUACCGAACCAAAAUCCGGGGUAACCCGGGUUUUUCCCGCAUGCCACGGCGGGGAGGAAAGUCCGGGCUCCAUAGAGCAGGAUGCCGGUUAACGACCGGACGCCGUGAGGCGAUGGAAAGUGCCACAGAAAAUACACCGCCGAUGGCUAGGCCGAGUUCCGCGAGGAGCUUGGUUUGGAUCAGGUAAGGUUGAAAUGGCGAGGUAAGAGCUCACCGCGCUGGUGGCAACAUCAGUGGCAGGGUAAACCCCAUCCGGAGCAAGAUCAAAUAGGCUGACCAUGGCGUGGCUCGCGUCGUCAGCGGGUAGAUUGCUUGAGCGUCAGGUAACGAAACGCCUAGAGGAAUGACUGUCCACGACAGAACCCGGCUUAUCGGCCAGCUUCACCC